CAGCAGCCGCGGUAAUACGAGGGGGGCAAGCGUUGUUCGGAAUUAUUGGGCGUAAAGGGUGCGUAGGCGGUUUGGCAAGUUUGGUGUGAAAUCUUCGGGCUCAACUCGAAGUCUGCAUCGAAAACUGCCGGGCUUGAGUAUGGGAGAGGUGAGUGGAAUUUCCGGUGUAGCGGUGAAAUGCGUAGAUAUCGGAAGGAACACCUGUGGCGAAAGCGGCUCACUGGACCAUAACUGACGCUGAUGCACGAAAGCUAGGGGAGCAAACAGGAUUAGAUACCCGUGUAGUCCCUGUCUCUUAUAU
rnacentral:rRNA from 1 species